rnacentral:lncRNA from 1 species
ACCCUGAACCAGGGUUAGGGUAGCUUAAGUAAUUUUUACCAGUUAUGAAGCAUCUUCAUGAUUUUAACCUAGUUUAUUAUGAGCAUCUGAAUGCACAUGAAAGGUGAGGGAAUAUCAAAAUUUUAUGAUGUAAAUUGGAUGGAAACUUUCCAGGAAGUUUGAUUCAAAAUCAUUUCAAAAAUGUCGGGAUUUCAGCUGUUACAGAAAAUUUUACGGUUCCACAGAUUGAGAG